rnacentral:rRNA from 1 species
AUGUCCGGCGGCACGGCACCGCGCGUCGUGGAGGACUUCCUCGGCGUCGUCCAGCUCCUCAGCGACGGCUCCGUCGUCCGCGGCGACGAAGCCGUCCUCCGGUCAAACGAGCCGUUACCGGACGUCCCCGGCGUGCAGUGGAAGGACGUCCUGUACCACGCCGCGCACGGCCUUAGUGUCCGCGUGUACAGGCCGGCGUCGUCGGUGGCCGGCGGCAGCAAGCUCCCCGUGCUGGUGUACUUCCACGGCGGGGGCUACUGCCUCGGCUCCUUCGCGGAGCCCAACUUCCACUCGUUCUGCCUCCGCGCCGCAGCCGAGAUCCGGGCCGUCGUGCUGUCCGUGCAGUACCGCCUCGCCCCCGAGCACCGCCUCCCCGCGGCCAUCGACGACGGCGCGGCUUUCCUGUCCUGGCUGCGCGGCCAGGCCGAGCUUGGCGCCGGCGCCGACCCGUGGCUCGCGAGUUCGGCCGACUUCGCCCGGACGUUCCUCUCCGGCAACUCGGCGGGUGCCAACCUGGCCCACCACGUCACGGUCCGCGCAGCGUCGGGGCAGAUCGCGGUCAGCCCGGCGCGCGUCGUCGGGUACAUCCUCCUCUCCGCGUUCUUCGCCGGGGCCGAGCGCACGGCGACGGAGGCUGACCCGCCGGCGGGCGUGUCCCUGACGACCGCGAUGGCCGACCAGCUCUGGCGCAUGUCGCUGCCGGUGGGGGCUAGCUUGGACCACCCGCUGGCCAACCCGUUCGGCCCGAAGAGCCCGAGCCUCGCACCGGUGGAGCUCCCGGCGGCGCUCGUCGUGGCGCCGUUGAGCGACGUGCUCCGCGACCGCGUGCUGGGGUACGGGGCGAGGCUGAAGGACAUGGGCAAGGCCGUCGAGGUUGUCCAGUUCGAGGGAGAGCAGCAUGGAUUCUCCGUCCGGCAGCCCUUCGGCGAGGCGGCCGACGAGUUGCUGCGGGUGAUCAAGCGGUUCGUCUACAGCGGCAACUGA